rnacentral:rRNA from 1 species
CCUACGGGUGGCAGCAGUGGGGAAUAUUGGACAAUGGGGGGAACCCUGAUCCAGCGACGCCGCGUGAGUGAAGAAGUAUUUCGGUAUGUAAAGCUCUAUCAGCAGGGAAGAAAGAAAUGACGGUACCCGACUAAGAAGCCCCGGCUAACUACGUGCCAGCAGCCGCGGUAAUACGUAGGGGGCAAGCGUUAUCCGGAUUUACUGGGUGUAAAGGGAGCGUAGACGGCGAUGCAAGUCUGAAGUGAAAGGCGGGGGCCCAACCCCCGGACUGCUUUGGAAACUGUAUGGCUGGAGUGCAGGAGAGGUAAGUGGAAUUCCUAGUGUAGCGGUGAAAUGCGUAGAUAUACGGAGGAACACCAGUGGCGAAGGCGGAUUGCUGGACAGUAACUGACGCUGAGGCGCGAAAGCGUGGGGAGCAAACAGGAUUAGAUACCCGUGUAGUC